rnacentral:rRNA from 1 species
UACGAAGGUCCCAAGCGUUAUCCGGAUUUAUUGGGUUUAAAGGGUGCGUAGGCGGGUUAUUAAGUCAGUGGUGAAAGCCUACAGCUUAACUGUAGAAUUGCCAUUGAUACUGAUGAUCUUGAGUAUGAUUGAGGUGGGCGGAAUGUGUCAUGUAGCGGUGAAAUGCUUAGAUAUGACACAGAACACCGAUUGCGAAGGCAGCUCACUAAGUCAAUAACUGACGCUGAUGCACGAAAAGCGUGGGGGAGCAAACAGG